ensembl:lncRNA
GUGGCCACAGGCACUGUUGCCCUCUCGACUGGACGGCCGUGAUCAGAGACGUGGUCACAAUGGCAGGUUUGGGUGAUGUAGCCAGUCCCUCCAUGACCUCCGAGACAGACCCGCCGCCUUGAGCAGAGGGGACACACAGCGGCCCCUGGCGCGAGAAGUCAUGUGUGAGCACAAAGUCAUGUCCCGGAGGGCAGGUCAGCCUGGGACGACGAACACAGGUACAACCACCACUGUCAACACCUCAGGAGACCCCACAGGGCUCCUCAGGUGAAUCUCCCGCAGGCGCAUUCGCCCCCAGGGGAUACGCACAAGGCCUCGCAAACAUCACCCAGCCCGCCAGGGACCCUGAACACCCGCCAUGGUCCUGUGAAACCGCGGCCCAGACAUGAGCACCAACGCCUCUCAUCCAGGCAUCAGACUUCCAGAUGGGCGAGCAAGCUCGGAGACAGACUCCUGCCAGGGCCACCGUGGCGCAUCAAACCUGGCUGCCAUCUGGGGGCAUCUGGCCGCGAGACGAGUGGUUCUCAAGGAAGGGAGGCAAAAGUGGAACAAACAGGCAGGGGAGAUGCCCACACUCGAGUGUACUUGUCCCACGAGCCACGUUCGAAGACCACAUCACGAGCCGCUUCGGCUCAGAGGGCCCGUCAGCUCCUCGGUGACUCGGAGUCGGGAGCGCGGGAUUCUCGGAGAAACGACCCUCUGUCCCCCGACGGGAGGGCCAGCAGGAGAAACGUGUUCUUCCCCCAUCAACGGCUUGAGACGCCCCAGGACUGCGCGCCGAGCUCCCCUUGUAAAGUGAAAACAUAUUUAUCCCGUGGUUGCUGCUGGGUUUGUUUUUUUUCUGUUGUUUUUUUGAAUGGAUGGGAACUCGUCCACUCUGCCGUGAGGAAUGCCAAAGAAAUGCAUAAUUAAAAACGAAAAAAGAAAGUCUUCUAAAGGCUGUUUACUUGGGUGAUGACAGAGACACAAACGCUCCUUUCUCCCCGGAAGGCCCACCCACAGAAAGCAGCAGAACAAUGGUGCCGGGGCCCCGGGGGCACCAGACGCCCGGGGAGGCCCCCCGCCCGCCACGCAUUCGGCUCCCACGGCCCCCGCCUCCUGCCGGCGCCCGGCCGCCCAUUGCACGGAGGCCUGGCCUCUGCCCGCGGGCCACCCUGGCUCGGACGCUGUCGAGCCCCUGUGUUCACACGGCUCGGGGGGUCUCUCGUGAUUGUCAAAAAAAAGUGGAAAAUCCGUAAUGUUGGAGCACAAAGGGCGGGCUGACCCGGGAGAAAGGGCUCACUUUGCACACGUGCGAAUACGGAGCACAAAGCGAAAGUUCCACGGUCACGUGGGCCUGGCCCCGGACAAACUCAGACAAACCGCGUAACUUAGGGCAAAUUCCCGGAGGCUCUUUCGAUCUGCAGAUGGACACAUACGCGUCGGGACCGGUGGCUCUGGUGACGGAAGGGUCUGCGUUAUGCCAGCAAGUGAAUGACAAAAGUUACAUCCUUUUUCUCAACACUCACCGCUCUAAUUGCCUGAACCUCCACGAGAACAGAGUCACACUAUAGUUUUAUGGUAUUUGAUUAAUGAGGGCAGGAAAAUUGAAGUUUUUGCAAUAAAACUAAAAAAAAAAUCA